AAUCACUUGGCAGGGUAGAUCAUGGCUCCCCAAGAGCAAAGAAAUUUAACUUUUAAGACUCAUAUCCAGAAUCAGCCUGGCAUCUCUUGGCUCCACCAUAUUGAUUAAACUGAGUCAUCUGUGUGGAAGAGGACCUUGAAAGAUGACGAGUGACAAGAGGUGGUUCCCCUGGAGCCAUUGCUCAGGAAGAACUGCUUCUACAAAACCAGCCACACCACCUCCAUUCCUCUACUGUACAAAGGAGGAAAAGAAAACUGCAGCAGUAUGCAGGAGUUUCUUUCACCUACGGGGUAUUUUCUGUUAAUAGCCCAUGAAGAGCAGAAGAGAGGGCAAGGAAGCCUAGCAAUGGGACCUACCUUCAAAAUUAAAUUCUACACACGGAGUGACCUCUGCCCCCCUAACAUUUAGCUGCUUAAAAUUGGACUCUGCUCUGUGUCAGUGGUGCCACCUGCCACAGGCCACAGUGCUUGCUGUGCACCAGAGGGCACAUUAAUUAGCUUCGGUGCUAUGCAUCUGGGUGACUUCAACGUGAAGACACCAGAGGGGGCAUAUGGACUGGCAGCUGGGGAUUGGAAGCACAGCCAAGAAGCAGCUUUAGAAAUAAUCAUUGUUGGAUCAGUCUUGCUAGCACCCUCACUACCAGCUCUGCUUAUGUGGAGAUUGCUGUGUAUAUGAAGAUCUUUAUGGUCUUGGAUUGGAACACAAAGAUAGGAUGACAUCAUAAUCCUGGGAACCCAUUUUUGAACAUUCUGUUGAGGCACACUUAGCAGUCAAGCAUCCCUCUUUCCUCAAAUCCUGGGUCCUGUCGAAGGCGAUGCAGAGCAGCGAAUGCCCCCCAAAAUGAAAGGGCUGUGGAAAUCACAUCCAUCCAGCUUGCUUGUGGUAGUAUUCUAUACUUUUGGCUUUGAAGUUUUUCUUUUUGAGAAAAGGCUUUUUAUGAAUCCCAGGCAGGCCUCAAAUUCACUAUGUAGCUCAAAGAUGACCGUGAUGUUCUCACCCUCCUGCUCCUCCUUCCUAAGCAGUGGUAUUACAGACAUGUUCCAUCCGCUUGGUUUAUGUGAUGCUUGGGUCAAACUCAGGUCUUCGUGCCUGGGAGCCAGUACUCUACCAACUGAGCUGCACACCCAGCCCGGCUUUGAAAUGCUUCAACUGUCUUGUAUACCUGUUAGCGAGGAAAGUGUGAAAACACUUGGAAACAUUUACUUCAUCUCUGCCUCUCUCCAUGAUCCUGUG
rnacentral:lncRNA from 1 species